GACGAACGCUGGCGGCAUGCUUAACACAUGCAAGUCGAACGGAAAGGCCCUGCUUUUGUGGGGUGCUCGAGUGGCGAACGGGUGAGUAACACGUGAGUAACCUGCCCUUGACUUUGGGAUAACUUCAGGAAACUGGGGCUAAUACCGGAUAGGAGCUCCUGCUGCAUGGUGGGGGUUGGAAAGUUUCGGCGGUUGGGGAUGGACUCGCGGCUUAUCAGCUUGUUGGUGGGGUAGUGGCUUACCAAGGCUUUGACGGGUAGCCGGCCUGAGAGGGUGACCGGCCACAUUGGGACUGAGAUACGGCCCAGACUCCUACGGGAGGCAGCAGUGGGGAAUAUUGCACAAUGGGCGGAAGCCUGAUGCAGCAACGCCGCGUGCGGGAUGACGGCCUUCGGGUUGUAAACCGCUUUCGCCUGUGACGAAGCGUGAGUGACGGUAAUGGGUAAAGAAGCACCGGCUAACUACGUGCCAGCAGCCGCGGUGAUACGUAGGGUGCGAGCGUUGUCCGGAUUUAUUGGGCGUAAAGGGCUCGUAGGUGGUUGAUCGCGUCGGAAGUGUAAUCUUGGGGCUUAACCCUGAGCGUGCUUUCGAUACGGGUUGACUUGAGGAAGGUAGGGGAGAAUGGAAUUCCUGGUGGAGCGGUGGAAUGCGCAGAUAUCAGGAGGAACACCAGUGGCGAAGGCGGUUCUCUGGGCCUUUCCUGACGCUGAGGAGCGAAAGCGUGGGGAGCGAACAGGCUUAGAUACCCUGGUAGUCCACGCUGUAAACGGUGGGUACUAGGUGUGGGGUCCAUUCCACGGGUUCCGUGCCGUAGCUAACGCUUUAAGUACCCCGCCUGGGGAGUACGGCCGCAAGGCUAAAACUCAAAGGAAUUGACGGGGCCCCGCACAAGCGGCGGAGCAUGCGGAUUAAUUCGAUGCAACGCGUAGAACCUUACCUGGGUUUGACAUGGAUCGGGAGUGCUCAGAGAUGGGUGUGCCUCUUUUGGGGUCGGUUCACAGGUGGUGCAUGCCUGUCGUCAGCUCGUGUCGUGAGAUGUUGGGUUAAGUCCCGCAACGAGCGCAACCCUUGUUCACUGUUGCCAGCACGUUAUGGUGGGGACUCAGUGGAGACCGCCGGGGUCAACUCGGAGGAAGGUGGGGAUGACGUCAAGUCCUCAUGCCCCUUAUGUCCAGGGCUUCACGCAUGCUACAAUGGCUGGUACAGAGAGUGGCGAGCCUGUGAGGGUGAGCGAAUCUCGGAAAGCCGGUCUCAGUUCGGAUUGGGGUCUGCAACUCGACCUCAUGAAGUCGGAGUCGCUAGUAAUCGCAGAUCAGCAACGCUGCGGUGAAUACGUUCCCGGG
rnacentral:rRNA from 1 species